rnacentral:lncRNA from 10 species
UUUAAUCAAUCAUGCCUGUGUAAUGAAGCCUUCAUAAAAACCUAAAAAAGGACGGGGUUUGGAGAGCUUCCUGUAAGCGAACCCGUGAAGGUUCCAGGAGGAUGGCGCACCCGGAAAGGGCGUGGAAGCUCCGCGCCCCUUCCCACAGACUUUCCCCCAUCCAUCUCUUCAUCUGGUGUUCAUCGAUAGCCUUUGUAAUGUCCUUAAUAGUAAACCGGAAAACAGUGGAGGAAGAAGAGAAUCACCACAUAUCGUAUUUAGAGGUCCUGCAGAAAGGGCAGAGCGAGUUUCAUGUUUGAGUGCAGCGGAUGCAUGGGCAAAGCAUUACACAGCCGCUCCAUGGAAGUGACAAUGAGCCUUGUCUUUCACACGUAACUCCAGGAACCAGGGGAAACAAAACCAAUUCCACCCAGAGGUAAAUAAAAAUCAAAGAGCGUUCGAGGCAGCCGCAUUGACUCACCUUGCAGACAAGCAAGCAGAGCCGCAGAGCAGUGACCCGUGCCCAGCGCCUCGCAGCUAGAGCUGGAUUGGAAUCCAGGGCUUUGCAGGCUUCCUGCUUCACUCAAUCCUCUUUCUGUUGCCUCUGGCCUCAAGGUGUUGGCCCCUAGAAUCACUCUCAAAUGUAAGAUCAGGGAACUCCCUCUAGACUCAAGGGUGCCUGAGAGGCCACGUGGUUUUUAGACUCUCCUGGUUCAGCUUCACCACCUGAUGCUCUUCCCUUCCACCUAGAGCUUUUCGCAGCCCACAAAAGAUGUGCUCCAUGAUUCCAAAACAGAAAGGCUUCUGGUUAGGAGAGAACACUAAGGCAGCAAAGUAAGCCCUCAAUCAAAAUCCCUCAUUCACUAGCACUCUUUAGAAGUAGAAAUCAUUGGGACGCCCAAAUGCUUCUGAAAAAGUUCUGUGGUGCAUCCAAAGAUCAUCCCAGUAGUUUGUUUGCCUUAAAAGUAUUUGUUAAAACAUAAAAACUGUAUGUCUACGUAAGUGAUUUUCAAUCCUAGCUGCAUAUUAAAAAUCCCUGAAGAGCCUUUAGAAUAGGCCAGCCUUCAG